rnacentral:rRNA from 1 species
CUUGGUCAUUUAGAGGAAGUAAAAGUCGUAACAAGGUUUCCGUAGGUGAACCUGCGGAAGGAUCAUUAUCGAGUUUUGAAAAGUGGGGUUUGAUGCUGGCCUUUUCCGAAAGGCAUGUGCUUGCCUCUACUUAUCCACUCCAACACCUGUGCACAUUUGAGACAUUGUCCUCCCAAUGACUUGGGAGCAGCUCCCUUUCAGUCUCUUUCACCAGAAACAAAAAAGGUUGAGCCAGGACAGUGUCUCAUCUAUUUAAAACAAAACCCUUCAAAGUUCAGUAGAAUGUUAAUACUGCCGAAAGGCAACAAUUUAAUACAACUUUCAACAACGGAUCUCUUGGCUCUUGCAUCGAUGAAGAACGCAGCGAAAUGCGAUAAGUAAUGUGAAUUGCAGAAUUCAGUGAAUCAUCGAAUCUUUGAACGCACCUUGCGCUCCUUGGUAUUCCGAGGAGCAUACCUGUUUGAGUGUCAUGAAAUUCUCAAUCUCCUGAGCUUUUUUUAAGUGAGGGACUGAUUGGAUUUGGGAGCUUGCUGGCUACCUGUUGGUCAGCUCUCCUUGAAUGCAUUAGCUUUGACCAAGGAAUGGCACACGGGUGUGAUAAAACUAUCUGCACUCUGUUGACAAAAUGGUUAAGCUCAGAAUCUGUCGUCAGACAGCCUUUUCAUCAUCUGCCUCAAAUCAGGUAGGACUACCAACUGAACGUAAGCAUAUCAAUAAGCGGAGGA